UACGUAGGGUGCAAGCGUUAAUCGGAAUUACUGGGCGUAAAGCGUGCGCAGGCGGUGAUGUAAGACAGGUGUGAAAUCCCCGGGCUUAACCUGGGAACUGCAUUUGUGACUGCAAGGCUAGAGUGCGGCAGAGGGGGAUGGAAUUCCGCGUGUAGCAGUGAAAUGCGUAGAUAUGCGGAGGAACACCAGAGGCGAAGGCGGCGACCUGGACAGGUACUGACACUCAACUACGAAAGCGUGGGGAGCAAACAGG
rnacentral:rRNA from 1 species